rnacentral:rRNA from 1 species
AUUGAACGCUGGCGGCAGGCCUAACACAUGCAAGUCGAACGAGUGGCGGACGGGUGAGUAAUGUCUGGGAAACUGCCUGUUGGAGGGGGAUCAACACUGGAAAAGGUCGCUUAUCACCCAUACCAUCGUCUGUGCCCAGAUGGGAAUGGCUAGUAGGUGGGGUAAAGGCUCACCGAGGCGACGAGCCCUCGCUGGUCUGAGAGUAUGAACAGCCACACUGGAACGGGGACACGGUCCAGACUCCGACGGGAGGCAGCAGGGGGGAAUAUUGCACAAUGGGGGCAAGCCGGAUGCAGCCAGGCCGCGUGUAUGAAGAAGGCCUUCGGGUUGUAAAGUACUUUCAGCGGGGAGGCGUUACCCGCAGAAGAAGCACCGGCUAACUCCGUGCCAGCAGCCGCGGUAAUUC